ACCGUUGGUCCCAAGGUGUGAGCUUGUUGGCUCCUCCACAAGCAAUCCUUACCAUAACCCUCCUGUCAGUAAGCCCCUAAUUCCAACACCCAGUCCUCAAAAUCAAAUAACAGCCUUACUGACGGCGUACAACCUGCUGUUAUUGAACAUGUAACGAGCCAUUUGAUUCUUCUAAAAGUACCCGUUACAGAAAACCAAAUGUGUUUGAUUACAGCGGUUUGAGUAGGGUUCUCAAAUAAAAUGCAUUUACCUGCGCGGAAUGGUUGCCAACAUGGACGAUUGACAGAAUCGUCAAUUGUCGGCUUUCUCCGUUUUUCUACCUACGGGUGAAAUAAUGAUCAAUAAUUCAAGGUAGUGAUCGUUCUCAAUCGAUCAGCAUCCAUCGAAGAAAACACUUGUGCAUGUGGUACGCUUGGUUUGUGGGUCAACCACGAGGUGAAAUUAAUUUUCAUUUGGUUUGUUCUCUUGUAGAUAAUUAAGUAGAAGAAAAAGUUAACGUAGACCAGUUUCAAGUGUGGUGAUUUAUAUAAUUAGUUUGAAUUAUACUAGAAGGCCAAAGUAGCACUGAAAACUGUAAACCCAGUAAAACUGUAAGCAAAUAAGAAAAGGUAAAGUAUUGUUAUACAUGUGAAACGGGGUACGAGACGUCGAAGGUGGACUAACUUUCGGAAAUAGGUCCAUUUCGGGGCCUUUUCUUUUAUGCCGUGGAUUGUGCCAAUCCGGCGGCCAUCUUUCAUUCCCAGUGAUCAGCCGGAAGAACAAUAGGAACACGGACGAAGCUUUCCGCCAUUUUGGAAGCCACUACCCGCCCUGCGAUCUAUUUUGGCGUUAUCCAACAACCCGUCAGUCCUGUGGUCCAAUCCAGCAUCCGCUGGCCCGGUGAUCGCUCCGGCAACCCGCCAGUUUUGUGGCCAACCCGACCACCCGUCGGCCCUGUGGGUCCAUCCGGCAACCCGCCGGCCCUGCCAUCCAAAACCGACCACCCGUCGGCCCUGUGGGUCCAUCCGGCAACCCGCCGGCCCUAACCUCUAUACCGACAGUCCGUCGGCCCUGUGGGUCCAUCCGGCAACCCGCCGGCCCUGCCAGCCAAGACCGACCACCCGUCGGCCCUGUGGGUCCAUCCGGCAACCCGCCGGCCCUAACAUCUCUACCGACAGUCCGUCGGCCCUGUGGGUCCAUCCGACAACCCGCCGGCCCUGAAGGGAUCCCUCACCACCGCCCCGAAAGCAGAAAAGCGUAUGUACACCCUAUAUAAUGCGUCUCUAUAAGAAUUAAGCUCUCGCCAGAGCGAAUAAAAUGAAUAGCAUGUAAAAUCUCAGAUAGGCAGUUAAAAUUAU